GGAUGUGAGGGUGAUCUGGCUGCGACAUCUGUCACCCCAUUGAUCGCCAGGGUUGAUUCGGCUGAUCUGGCUGGCUAGGCGGGUGUUCCCUUCCUCCCUCACAGCUCCAUGUGCGUCCCUCCUGAAGCUGAGCGCUCAGUCGAAGAGGACGGCCUUCCCCGAAUAGAGACCGACCUGGUCGAGGGUAUACGAGUAGCUGCGCUCUCCUGCUAGAACCUCCAAACAAGCUCUCAAGAAUGUAAGGGUGCAUAGGUAUUGCACUAGAGUCACUAAACACAUUAUUUCAUUUUUGUA
rnacentral:snRNA from 1 species